rnacentral:rRNA from 1 species
CCUACGGGAGGCAGCAGUGGGGAAUAUUGGACAAUGGGGGCAACCCUGAUCCAGCCAUGCCGCGUGUGUGAAGAAGGCCCUCGGGUUGUAAAGCACUUUCAGUGAGGAAGAACGCCUGGUGGUUAAUACCCAUCAGGAAAGACAUCACUCACAGAAGAAGCACCGGCUAACUCCGUGCCAACAGCCGCGGUAAUACGGAGGGUGCGAGCGUUAAUCGGAAUUACUGGGCGUAAAGCGCGCGUAGGUGGCUUGAUAAGCCGGUUGUGAAAGCCCCGGGCUCAACCUGGGAACGGCAUCCGGAACUGUCAAGCUAGAGUGCAGGAGAGGAAGGUAGAAUUCCCGGUGUAGCGGUGAAAUGUGUAGAGAUCGGGAGGAAUACCAGUGGCGAAGGCGGCCUUCUGGACUGACACUGACACUGAGGUGCGAAAGCGUGGGUAGCAAACAGGAUUAGAUACCCUUGUAGUC